GAUGAACGCUGGCGGCGUGUUUAACACAUGCUAGUCGAACGGAAAGGCUCCUGCUUGCAGGGGUACUCGAGUGGCGAACGGGUGAGUAACACGUGGGUGAUCUGCCCUGCACUUCGGGAUAAGCCUGGUAAACUGGGUCUAAUACCGGAUAGGACGAUGGUUUGGAUGCCAUUGUGGAAAGUUUUUUCGGUGUGGGAUGAGCUCGCGGCCUAUCAGCUUGUUGGUGGGGUAAUGGCCUACCAAGGCGUCGACGGGUAGCCGGCCUGAGAGGGUGUACGGCCACAUUGGGACUGAGGUACGGCCCAGACUCCUACGAGGGGCAGCAGUGGAGGAUAUUGCACAAUGGGCGGAAGCCUGAUGCAGCGACGCCGCGUGGGGAAUGACGGCCUUCGGGUUGUAAACUCCUUUCGCUAGGGACGAAGCGCAAGCGACGGCACCUGGAGAAGAGGCACCGCCUCGGUACGUG
rnacentral:rRNA from 1 species